rnacentral:rRNA from 1 species
GACGAGGGAUCCUAGCGUUGUUCGGAAUUAUUGGGCGUAAAGCGGGUGUAGGUGGGCUUAUAAGUCAGGUGUGAAAUCCCAGGGCUCAACCCUGGAAGUGCAUUUGAUACUGUAAGCCUUGAAUGUGGUAGAGGUUACUAGAAUUCCUGGUGUAGUGGUGAAAUACGUAGAUAUCAGGAGGAAUACCAGAGGCGAAGGCGGGUAACUGGACCAAACAUUGACACUGAGACCCGAAAGCGUGGGGAUCAAACAGG